rnacentral:ncRNA from 1 species
AGACAAGACGUGGGAGAGCUGCCGCGGUCAGGCUCAAUCGAGCUGGACGCAUGCAGCGCCGUAGGUGCAAUUCCCUCCCCGGGAAACUCUCAGGCCCAGUACCACCGAUUGCAG